GGCAGACAGAGGAGAGCGGAAGUUCGACCAGUUUCCUUAUGUCAACCCCAGUCAUGCUGCAGUCUGGAAUCAACAAGUUAUCCCUCUGGCCUUAUGACACGGUGCUCCAUCAUGCUGGAAAAGGCGUUGAUCUUCACCAAACUGGAUGGUUGGAAGAAGUUGCUGUUUUGGUGCCAUUCUUUAUUCAUGGCUGGGUUCUUUGCCAAAAUUGUGAGUGAGUCCACUCCCUUGAAUGAGAAGCAGGCCCACACAUGAAUGGUCUCAGGAUGUUUUACUGUUGGCAUGAGACAGGACUGAUGGUAGCGCUCACAUUUUCUUCACCGGACAAUCCUUUUUCCAGAUGCCCCAAACAAUGGGAAAGGGGCGUCAAAAGUAUUUGCCUCCCUGUGUUCGCAGAUGCACUCACACCUACCUACUGCCAUUCCCGAGCAAGCUCUGCACUGGUGGCACUCCGAUCCCGCAGCUGAAUCAUGUUUAGGAGACGUUCCUGGCCCUUGCUGGACUUUCUUGUGCACCCUGAAGCAGUCUUAGCAACAACUGCACCUCCUUCCUUGAAGUUCUUGAUGAUUCAAUAAAUGGUUCAUUUACCUGCAGUCUUAGUAGCAACAA